GGAUGGAUGAUGAUUCCCAGAUAUGCUCUCCUUGAAAAUCUGAACUAAAUGUAUGAGGUUUCCCCACCACCUUUUUAAAUUGUCA
rnacentral:snoRNA from 1 species